UUAAACUGAAGAGUUUGAUCAUGGCUCAGAUUGAACGCUGGCGGCAGG
rnacentral:rRNA from 1 species